rnacentral:snRNA from 1 species
AUACUUACCUGGCAGAGGAAAUACCAUGAUCAGGAAGGUGGUUUUCCCAGGGUGAGGCUUACCCAUUGCACUUCGGGUUUGCUGACUCCUGCGAUUUCCCCAAAUGUGGGAAACUCGACUGCAAAAUUUGUGAUAGUGGGGGACUGCGUUCGCGCUUUCCCCUG